GGAUUUUCUUAGUAGCGGCGAGCGAAAAGAAAAUAGUUCAGCACUAAGUCACUUUGUCUUUAUGGCAAAUGUGAGAUGCAGUGUAUGGAAUGUCAAAUUUCUAGUAUGAGAAAUUAACGAUUUAAGUCCUUCUUAAAUGAGACCAUUUACCCAAAGAGGGUGCCAGGCCCGUAUAACGUUAAUGAUUACUAGAUGGCAUUUCCAAAGAGUCGUGUUGCUUGAUAGUGCAGCACUAAGUGGGUGGUAAACUCCAUCUAAAGCUAAAUAUAACCAUGAGACCGAUAGUAAACAAGUACCGUGAGGGAAAGUUGAAAAGAACUCUGAAUAGAGAGUUAAAUAGUACGUGAAACUGCUUAGAGGUUAAGCCCGAUGAACCUGAAUAUCCGUUAUGGAAAAUUCAUCUUUAUGAUUUUAAUAUUUAUAAUAUUAUAAUAAUGGUGUGCAUUUUUUCUAUAAAGGACAUUGUAAUCUAUUAACAUAAAUAUAUUUAUCAUAAGAUCAUUUGCGUAAGUUUAUUCAAAUUAUUUUGCUUGCAUUUUAAUAUCGAAUAAAUGCUUUUGAUUUGAUAAAGUGUUGAUAGAUUUAUUAUAUAUAGUGCUUAAAUAUUUAUAUUUUAUAAUAGCAUAUUGAUCAUUGAUCUUUAUGUUUAUUAUAUGCACUUAUAUGAUUAACAAUGCGAAAGAUUCAGGAUACCUUCGGGACCCGUCUUGAAAC
rnacentral:rRNA from 1 species